rnacentral:rRNA from 1 species
UGGGGAAUUUUCCGCAAUGGGCGCAAGCCUGACGGAGCAAGACCGCGUGAGGGAGGAAGGCUCUUGGGUUGUAAACCUCUUUUAUCAGGGAAGAAGAUCUGACGGUACCUGAUGAAUCAGCAUCGGCUAACUCCGUGCCAGCAGCCGCGGUAAUACGGAGGAUGCAAGCGUUAUCCGGAUUUAUUGGGCGUAAAGCGUCCGCAGGUGGUUUGACAAGUCUGCUGUUAAAGCGCAGGGCUUAACUCUGUAACGGCGGUGGAAACUGUCAGACUUGAGUAUGGUAGGGGUAGCGGGAAUUCCCAGUGUAGCGGUGAAAUGCGUAGAUAUUGGGAAGAACACCAGCGGCGAAAGCGCGCUACUGGGCCAUUACUGACACUCAUGGACGAAAGCUAGGGGAGCGAAAGGGAUUAGAUACCCCUGUAGUC